GAGAGAGAGAGAGAGAGAGAGAGAGAGAGAGAGAGAGAGAGAGCACUGUGCACAGAGAUUGAUGUCAGGCUCUGCUACUAUUCUCUUUAAUCUACAUAUACAGUGUUUGAAACAAAUGUUUAGCAGGGACGUUUUUAAAUAAUCUCAUAUGUGAUUGUUCUUUGUUUUUUUUUUGUUUUUUAUCUACUUCACAAGCUUCCAGUAAGUGUAAAUUCCGUUACUGUAUAAAGAUGCACAGUGAAUAAUAUUGUAUGGAUGUUUACAUAUUAAAUAUGAUAGAUGUGUGUACUAUAUGUAUGCGUUUGGAUAUAUAGAGUGAGAUGGGUGGAUGGAUUAAUGGAUGGGUUUAUUUUUAUGUGCAAAGAAAACAAGUGUGUGUGUGUGUGGGUGUGAGAGAGUCAGUGUGUGUCUGUGUCUCUGCUGUGUGACUCAUUUCAGGUAAGUUUAGGAAUAUAAAGCAAAGCAACAUAGUGGUGAAUUAAAAUUAAAACCGAUAAUGCAGUAAAAUAUAGUCUAAAAUUCAUCUGUUUAGUAAAUAAGACCCUCAUUCAGAAUUUCCC